GGAUUAUUGGGCGUAAGGGCUCGCAGGCGGUUUCUUAAGUCUGAUGUGAAAGCCCCCGGCUCAACCGGGGAGGGUCAUUGGAAACUGGGGAACUUGAGUGCAGAAGAGGAGAGUGGAAUUCCACGUGUAGCGGUGAAAUGCGUAGAGAUGUGGAGGAACACCAGUGGCGAAGGCGACUCUCUGGUCUGUAACUGACGCUGAGGAGCGAAAGCGUGGGGAGCGAACAGGAUUAGAUACCCUGGUAGUCCACGCCGUAAACGAUGAGUGCUAAGUGUUAGGGGGUUUCCGCCCCUUAGUGCUGCAGCUAACGCAUUAAGCACUCCGCCUGGGGAGUACGGUCGCAAGACUGAAACUCAAAGGAAUUGACGGGGGCCCGCACAAGCGGUGGAGCAUGUGGUUUAAUUCGAAGCAACGCGAAGAACCUUACCAGGUCUUGACAUCCUCUGACAAUCCUAGAGAUAGGACGUCCCCUUCGGGGGCAGAGUGACAGGUGGUGCAUGGUUGUCGUCAGCUCGUGUCGUGAGAUGUUGGGUUAAGUCCCGCAACGAGCGCAACCCUUGAUCUUAGUUGCCAGCAUUCAGUUGGGCACUCUAAGGUGACUGCCGGUGACAAACCGGAGGAAGGUGGGGAUGACGUCAAAUCAUCAU
rnacentral:rRNA from 1 species